UACUUCUUGGGGGUCAGGCGGUAGCACAGUGGGUUAAGUGCACAUGGUGUGAAGCCCAAGGACCAGCAUAAAAGUCCAGGGGAGUUGAAGCAGGUCUGCAGGUAUCUAUCUUUCUCUCCCCCUUUCUGUCUCCUCUCUUUUCGAUUUCUCUCUGUCCUAUCCAGCAAUGACAACAGUAAUAAUAACAACAAGGGUAACAACAGGGGCAACAAAAUGGGAAAAAUGGCCUCCAGGAGCAGUGGAUUUGUAAUGCAGGCACCAAGCCCUAGCAAUGACCCUGGAGGCAAAAAAAAAACAACAAAAAACUUCAUGCGGGCUGGGGGCACAGCCUAAUGAUUAUGCAAAGAGACUUUCAUGGCUGAGGUUCCAAGGUUCCAGGUUCAAUUCCCAGCAACACCAUAAGCCAGAGCAGUGCUCUGAUCUCUCUUCCCCUGCUCUCUGUAUCUCUCACUAAAGUAAAUAAAAUAAAAUAAAAUAAAGAUUUACUUCAUGAAUAAAAGGGAGUGGAAACCAAAGCAUUGCUGUAGCAAGUAUCACUAGGAAUCAAACCUUGUAUAUUGCAAAUUCUGAGCUCUGCCUACUAAAUCACAACAAAAUUUUUGAGUCUCACUGAUAGAAACUUUGCUCCCAAGGAAUUGUUCAGUAAAACUUUUACUUCUCCACUUUAAAUUCUUACCAUGCACAAGGACCCAGGUUCGAGUCCCCGGUUCCCACCUACAAGGGGAAAGCUUCACAAGUGGUGAAACAAGGCUGCAGUAAUCAGAGGACUCUGCAAACCAGUACUACCUGCUGUGUCAAGGCUGACUUGAGGACAUUUGCUGAGCAAAGAGAAACCCAGGAGAUCAACAAUCUUUUCCUGCUUUUCCUCUUUAAUCUGCUUGAUGGACCCAUAGAAAAGCCAGCCAGAAUCCUCUAAGGUUUCUAGGCCCAAAAUGGAGUUAAGAGUUAAACCUACUUAGACUUUAAAGAGCUGAAGGGUGCUAACAGUAUCCCCAAUAUAACCUAGAUCUGAAGAAACUGGCAAACCUCACUGUGCCACUCCUAGUCUACUUGCCUUAUAAAAGUCUAGCAAAAUUGACUGCAAUGGCUAACCACCAGUCUACCUUGCCAUAGUGGAGGCCAGUGUAGAAACCCGAGGGCAAUACCAAAGGGAGGAACAACUGCUUACCAAUUCUGUAACAGACUGAGGAAAGCCAAGUGGGACAUUUCAUUUACUCUAGGCAAGUUAUUUAACCUCUAAGGUUGUUUUUUUUUUUUUUAAAUCUUUAUUGUUGAUUACUAAUCUUGUCCAAGAAAAUACUGGAGGGUAAGUCUUUUCUGUUACACCUCUGUACUAUAGCCCUUCCCCAGUAAAUUAUAUGCCACAGAGGAACUGAGUAAAGAUUUGGUCGAGUGAUGAAUAGUCCCACUCUGGUAGCUCCUUGAACUGUUUGUCCUAACGUUUUCUCUUUAAAUAUUGGAAAAUCAGCCUUUGAUAGACUUCUGGUUUCCUAUAACCCAAACCCUAGGCCUAUUUUUCUCUGAGAUUCUUGAGAAGUUAGAAAUGUCUAACUCUUCUAUUGGGAAUCCAAGGGUAAAGACAAUUUGGAGAAACAGACAGACAUUCUAGUGAGUUUGGAUUCAUUCUUAGCAGACUCUGAGGUAUAACAGAAAGAGAAGUUAAAGUCCGUUGAUUUGCUUUUUUUUUUUUUAUUUAACCUCUUGCACCUGUUUUAUCUUAUUGAGUGCUAUAAGUAAUAGCUGACUUAGGGGUAGGGGAACAACACAGUGGUUUAUGCAGCAUGUUGAUCUUAUAAACCACUAUGAUGGUGCUGGGGACUGAGCCUGGGACUUCUGGUGCCUUAGGCAUGAAAGUCCUUUUACCAUAUAACCAUUAUACUAUCUCUAUCUGCAGAAGUCCCAGGUUCAGUUGAGAGCACCACCAUAAGCCAGAGCUGAGUAGUGCUCUGAUAAAAUAAAAUAAAAUAAAAUAAAAUAAAAUAAAAUAAAAUAAAAUAAAAUACACCUAAUUGAUUAGGUGCUUUGUAUGAGCUACUAUAUCAAGCAUUUAUUUGCACUGUUUAACUUAAUCCUGUCCCUUGUACUCAGAGCAACAAGGAUCAAGAGAGAUGAAUAGUGGUCCGGGAGGUGGCACAGUGGAUAAGGCACUGGACUCUCAAGCAUGAGGUCCUGAGUUCAAUCCCCAGCAACACAUGUACCAGAGUGAUGUUUGGUUCUUUCUCUCUCUCCUAUCAUUUCUCAUGAAUCAAUAAAUAAAACAUUUUAAAAAGAAAAGAAAGAUAAAUAACUGACCUGAAUUAAAAACAAAACAAGCAAACAACAACAACAAAAAAAGGUACUACCAAAUUUUAUAGGUCAUGCUACUAACCUGUUUGUACCUCUCACAGCCAUAUACAGUAAAGCAUUAUAUUUGAGUUAAAGGUUUAUCUAAAGGAAUAAACAGGACAUCUUGAUUUACCCAGGAUUGAUAUGUCUCCUAGAAUAUGGAGCCUUUAGUGCUAAAACUAAGAAAAGUGCCAGGUUACCCAGUUUGCCACCCCAUGUUUACACUUAGAUUCAGUCCAUGACUGGACACUGAGGCCAUAUUUGUCUUGACUGCUUGUUCUCCUGGGCCUACUUUGUGGUCAGUGUUCCUUAAUCUAAAAUUCAAGAAUCUGUUUCAGUUCAGCAGGCAGGGAAAGAGUUUGAAGUAGUAAGUUAGAUAAUCAGAUGGCAUGGUCUGGGAGGUGGCGCGGUGUAUAAAGCAUUGGAUUCUCAACCAUGAGGUCCCGAGUUCAAUCUCCGGCAGCACAUGUGCCAGAGUGGUGUCUAGUUCUUUCUCUCUCUGCCUAUCUUUCUAAUGAAUAAAUAAACAAAUUCUUUUAAAAAA